GACGAACGCUGGCGGCGUGCUUAACACAUGCAAGUCGAACGGAAAGGCCCUGCUUUUGUGGGGUGCUCGAGUGGCGAACGGGUGAGUAACACGUGAGUAACCUGCCCUUGACUUUGGGAUAACUUCAGGAAACUGGGGCUAAUACCGGAUAGGAGCUCCUGCUGCAUGGUGGGGGUUGGAAAGUUUCGGCGGUUGGGGAUGGACUCGCGGCUUAUCAGCUUGUUGGUGGGGUAGUGGCUUACCAAGGCUUUGACGGGUAGCCGGCCUGAGAGGGUGACCGGCGGCAAUGGGGGUGAGAGAAGGACGGGACGCCGACGGCGGGCGGCAGGGGGGGGGAAGGCACAGUGGGGGGGGGCCGCAUGCAGCAGCGACGCGUGGGGGAGGGCGGAGGACGGGGGGUAGAGAGCUUUCGCCGGCGAAGAAGAGGGAGUGACGGGAAUUGGUAAAGAAGAAACGGCUAACUACGUG
rnacentral:rRNA from 1 species